UCGUUGCGGUUCUACCGUGCGCUCGAGCGGGGACAGGAGCUUGCUACUUGACCUAGCGGCGGACGGGUGAGUAAUGCUUAGGAAUCUGCCUAUUAGUGGGGGACAACAUCUCGAAAGGGAUGCUAAUACCGCAUACGUCCUACGGGAGAAAGCAGGGGACCUUCGGGCCUUGCGCUAAUAGAUGAGCCUAAGUCGGAUUAGCUAGUUGGUGGGGUAAAGGCCUACCAAGGCGACGAUCUGUAGCGGGUCUGAGAGGAUGAUCCGCCACACUGGGACUGAGACACGACCCACACUAAUACGGGAGGCAGCAGUGGGGAAUAUUGGACAAUGGGGGGAACCCUGAUCCAGCCAUGCCGCGUGUGUGAAGAAGGCCUUUUGGUUGUAAAGCACUUUAAGCGAGGAGGAGGCUACCGAGAUUAAUACUCUUGGAUAGUGGACGUUACUCGCAGAAUAAGCACCGGCUAACUCUGUGCCAGCAGCCGCGGUAAUACAGAGGGUGCAAGCGUUAAUCGGAUUUACUGGGCGUAAAGCGCGCGUAGGUGGCCAAUUAAGUCAAAUGUGAAAUCCCCGAGCUUAACUUGGGAAUUGCAUUCGAUACUGGUUGGCUAGAGUAUGGGAGAGGAUGGUAGAAUUCCAGGUGUAGCGGUGAAAUGCGUAGAGAUCUGGAGGAAUACCGAUGGCGAAGGCAGCCAUCUGGCCUAAUACUGACACUGAGGUGCGAAAGCAUGGGGAGCAAACAGGAUUAGAUACCCUGGUAGUCCAUGCCGUAAACGAUGUCUACUAGCCGUUGGGGCCUUUGAGGCUUUAGUGGCGCAGCUAACGCGAUAAGUAGACCGCCUGGGGAGUACGGUCGCAAGACUAAAACUCAAAUGAAUUGACGGGGGCCCGCACAAGCGGUGGAGCAUGUGGUUUAAUUCGAUGCAACGCGAAGAACCUUACCUGGUCUUGACAUAGUAAGAACUUUCAGAGAUGGAUUGGUGCCUUCGGGAACUUACAUACAGGUGCUGCAUGGCUGUCGUCAGCUCGUGUCGUGAGAUGUUGGGUUAAGUCCCGCAACGAGCGCAACCCUUUUCCUUAUUUGCCAGCGGGUUAAGCCGGGAACUUUAAGGAUA
rnacentral:rRNA from 1 species